GGACCCGCACAAGCGGUGGAGCAUGUGGUUUAAUUCGAUGCAACGCGAAAAACCUUACCUACUCUUGACAUACUUGGAAGCUCUUGUAAUGAGAGUGUGCCUUUUGGAACCAAGAUACAGGUGCUGCAUGGCUGUCGUCAGCUCGUGUCGUGAGAUGUUCCGUUAAGUCGGAUAACGAGCGCAACCCUUACCCUUAUUUGCCAGCGAUUCGGUCGGGAACUAUAAGGGGACUGCCGGUGAUAAACCGGAGGAAGGUGAGGACGACGUCAAGUCAUCAUGGCCCUUACGAGUAGGGCUACACACGUGCUACAAUGGGGAAUACAGACGGACGCUAAGCCGCGAGGUGGUGCUAAUCCCAUAAAGCCGGUCGUAGUCCGGAUUGGAGUCUGAAACUCGACUCCAUG
rnacentral:rRNA from 1 species